ensembl:snoRNA
GAGCCCUGGCUGAUGACGGGACCACUAUGCAGUCUGAGUUCUGGGAACCACCUGAUGGAGCGUGUCCUGAGAACUGAGGCUG